UACGGGGGGGGCAAGCGUUGUUCGGAAUUAUUGGGCGUAAAGGGCUCGUAGGCGGCCAACUAAGUCCGACGUGAAAUCCCCAGGCUUAACCUGGGAACUGCGUCGGAUACUGGAUGGCUUGAAUUCGGGAGAGGGAUGCAGAAUUCCAGGUGUAGCGGUGAAAUGCGUAGAUAUCUGGAGGAAUACCGGUGGCGAAGGCGGCAUCCUGGACCGACAUUGACGCUGAGGAGCGAAAGCUAGGGGAGCAAACGGG
rnacentral:rRNA from 1 species